CUGUAAAGUUCCACAAUAGAAGAGAUGCAGCAGAUCAUGUAACAUGAAGGGGCAGGUAUCUGAAGUUUAAGGUUAUUAUAAUGUUUUUAUCAAGAUACGUAAACCGAUUUUCUUUCACACACAUCCUUGUUUCACAUAGAUUUACAUAUUUAAUCAGGACUGUAUGCUUAGCAGGGCUUCUACAGUGACUUAAACACGUAAUUCUUAACUAGCCUACUGCAUCUUAUGGUCCUUUAUAGGGCCUUUAUCAUAGUGUUUACUCUGGUAGCCACACAAGAUCCCAAU